rnacentral:rRNA from 1 species
GUGCCAGCAGCCGCGGUAAUACGGAAGGUCCGAGCGUUAUCCGGAUUUAUUGGGUUUAAAGGGAGCGCAGGCGGAAUGUUAAGUCAGCUGUGAAAUCCCGUCGCUCAACGGCGGAACUGCAGUUGAUACUGGCUUUCUUGAGUGCACAUAAGGAUGGUGGAAUUCGUGGUGUAGCGGUGAAAUGCUUAGAUAUCACGAAGAACUCCGAUUGCGAAGGCAGCCAUCUGGGGUGCAACUGACGCUGAGGCUCGAAAGUGCGGGUAUCAAACAGGAUUAGAUACCCUGGUAGUCCGCACAGUAAACGAUGAAUACUCGCUGUCGGCGAUAUACUGUCGGCGGCCAAGCGAAAGCAUUAAGUAUUCCACCUGGGGAGUACGCCGGCAACGGUGAAACUCAAAGGAAUUGACGGGGGCCCGCACAAGCGGAGGAACAUGUGGUUUAAUUCGAUGAUACGCGAGGAACCUUACCCGGGCUUGAACUGCACCCGACGGACAAAGAGAUUUGUCUUCCGCAAGGCGGGUGUGGAGGUGCUGCAUGGUUGUCGUCAGCUCGUGCCGUGAGGUGUCGGCUUAAGUGCCAUAACGAGCGCAACCCUUCUCUUCAGUUGCCAUCAGGCAGAGCUGGGCACUCUGGAGACACUGCCAUCGUAAGAUGCGAGGAAGGUGGGGAUGACGUCAAAUCAGCACGGCCCUUACGUCCGGGGCUACACACGUGUUACAAUGGGAGGUACAGAAGGCCGCGACCCGGCGACGGGAAGCCAAUCCCCAAAUCCUCUCUCAGUUCGGACUGGAGUCUGCAACCCGACUCCACGAAGCUGGAUUCGCUAGUAAUCGCGCAUCAGCCAUGGCGCGGUGAAUACGUUCCCGGGCCUUGUACACACCGCCCGU